AUUAGGGUCUGCUACGUCUAAGCAAUUGGGUUCAUGCCCCAAAAACGGUGCCACCACCCCCUAAUA
rnacentral:tRNA from 1 species